rnacentral:tRNA from 1 species
GGAGGAAUGGGUGAGCGGUUGAAACCGGUGGUCUUGAAAACCACUGUACCCGGAAGGGUACCGGGGGUUCGAAUCCCUCUUCCUCCG